rnacentral:rRNA from 1 species
UACGUAGGGUGCGAGCGUUGUCCGGAAUUAUUGGGCGUAAAGAGCUUGUAGGCGGUUUGUCACGUCGUCUGUGAAAUUCCGGGGCUUAACCUCGGGCGUGCAGGCGAUACGGGCAAUACUUGAGUGCUGUAGGGGAGACUGGAAUUCCUGGUGUAGCGGUGAAAUGCGCAGAUAUCAGGAGGAACACCGAUGGCGAAGGCAGGUCUCUGGGCAGUAACUGACGCUGAGGAGCGAAAGCAUGGGUAGCGAACAGGAUUAGA